ensembl:lncRNA
AAGCUCUGCAAGCCUGGCCAAUAAACAAUGCAGAUUCACGAUGUACACCACAGCCUCCAGCCCGUAAUGAUGAGCGGCACAGGUCUGACAGGUAGCCAGUAACAUUAACUGGAUGAGGCCAUUGUGGUUGUGUUGCCUCCUGCUUUUUCCACCAGCAGAAAGAUGGCAACGUUUAAGAUCCCAACCCAGAGAGCCUUUUCGGUUGGUGACCCUGCUGAUGGCAGCAAUGUUACACUUGAUAUCCAGACAUUGGUCUCUGCAGAAAGAGUGUUACAAACAGCAACGUGUCUGGUACAGAUGGGGAAAACCCUUCUGAGCCAUGGAGUGAAUUUACUGCGCUUUCACUGUGACACAGAGCUGGAAAUACUUCAGGACUUGGCACCUUAUGGAAGAAGUCUGAAAACCUGAAUCUCCAUCUUGUGUUCAGACAAAAGUCUCCAGUUUCUCUGUGAGAUCAGGAGGCUAUGGCCACUGCAGAAUUGGGAUGCUCCCAUAGUGUUGUGCUAUUUUAGCUAUUAUGGCUGCUUUAAUUCAUGCUUCGGUGGUUGUUUUUAGGUUUUUAUUUUUUUCCCCAAAACCUUAAACAAAACAAAACGACUGCCCCAAUCUGAUCCAGCUCACCUGUGCUUGACCUUUCUGUCUCCACCACGCCAUGCAGCUGGUCCUGCAGUUCAUUUGUGCUUUUUUUGUUGGUGCCACUUUUGCUCUCUUUCAAAAGAGAUGCGGAGAGGCCACAUCAAGCUACAUACACCCACACCCAUGCCAGAAUUGCAGAACCCUACAGCCAAGUCUGCUGCUUUCAGUAAAAGGGGCAGGGCUUUUAGAUACCUCAUAGAAGUGGAUUAAGACUCUAACGGCUUAAAAAGUACACAAAUAUUCAGAAAUAUUUGUGGUGCUCAUGAGUAAUGUUAUUAGCUUGAAGAUUACAGUGCUUAAUGUACAACAGGAUUUGAGGAUUUAAUAGUAAAGAUCCAGAGUAAUGUGGCAGAUGUCUUGCAUUAGAGUACACUUAAGUGUGUAUCAGAGUAGAAAAUAUUUUCUAUUUUAUUACAUUACAUAACAUAAGGGAAAGGUUUAAAAACAAGUUGUAUUAAUAGAUACGCUGCAUUUCUUCCUUAUUUGUGCUGGUGGAUAGCUAAACUUCUGACUUCCUUUGUUUUUGACGGUUACAUCAUGCAUGAUGGGUUUACCAAGAGAAUUAAUAAAAUGCUUCAGCUUAU